AAAGCAGUAGUCUUUCACCCAUUCUUUGAUUGCAAACCAUAUCUCUAGCCCAUCAACUGCAUAUGGGUAAUCUUUUAUCAGCAGGCGAACACCGUGUGGUGCCUUUGGAUCCUCAACUGCCACUCCUCUGAACAAACAAGGAUAAACUGUUGAUUCCAGGAUUCCACCAGCAUUAAUUAGUGUCUGCCUAGCUAGCGCAUUUAUGUUCAUUGUGUCGCGGAAGUGAGGUUCCAAGAGUUUAUAGAUCGGGUGAAGCACACUGAGUUGCCUAUUUGUUGCAAUCACAAAUGGUUCACUUACAGCAUGAGUGUUCAAAAAAUGGCUAAUAAGCUGAUGGUAACCAGAGUCGUUUACACCCACAUAAGCUUUAGCCAGCUGCCAAAUGGUACCUUCAACACCAUCUUCAGCUGGGGUAUAGACUUUGCUAAUGGCUCCAAAUUCAUCUCCCUUGUCAUGAGGCAAGCUUAACUCAAUUACAAGUGGCUUCAAAGUUCCAUCAUCUUUCAAGAAAAGCAAUGUCCUUGAAGCAUAAGUCUUUGUGGUAGUAGUGUUUAUCCUCCUCAGGUAUGGCAUCAAUUCAUCAUGAUGAUCUAAGAUGAACAUCCUGUUGUUCUUGAUUGCCUAUUCAACAACAAAUAAUUUCAGCUACGGUUGUUUUUUUCUUUAAUGGGAUGACUAAAUUCAGCAUCUCCAUCUGUGAAACAUUCACAGAUCUGAUCUUAAACUCAACUGUCGAAUAAACUUAUCGAGAGAUGGCUUACCUCAUCUAUGGUCAGUCCAUCCAGAUUGUCCUUGAUGUGCUUCUCUGUUAUUGAGCUGUUUUGAUCACCAUAUUGCUUGCUGUUUAGCUUGCUUUUGGGAGGGAAUUUCUGCAGUGAUUUGUUAUUAGACACAAAGAAAAAACAUAUAAUAUAUAUUUCGGAGACAGAAAAUUCUAUUGGAACUUUAGCUUACCUCAAGACGACGAAUGAUAACUGGGUUUACUCCUGCCAGCAUUUCUCUGCCAAAUUCUUCAUCAGUCCUCCAGGCAGAAUGAUUAUCUGCAGAGUAUAUCAUAAUUUAGUGGCCAAAAGGGGGAUGGUUGAAUGUUUGUUUAUGAAAUAGUCCAAACAUAGAGUUAAAUGUUUAAGUUCACACCUUGAAUCACUUGAGGCUUCGGAAAUUUGAAGAGGUUUUCACCAUCAGUUCUAAAAAUUUCCUUAAGCAUCUCCAAGGGAAUGUUUUUCCUAAGAUUAUCUAGAAGGGGACCUUCAGGAAGCUCAAAGCCUCCCUCAUAGAGUUUCAAUACAUCAUCAAAGGAGUCAAACUCAUUAGGGGUGCUGUCACAUAAUGCUUCCAGUUCAGGCUUGACAAAUUGAGCUAUAGAUUUCAGUGCAUAAGCAAGGAAGUCUGCCAUCUUCAGGUGACCGAAUCGUUCAUCUCUUGGAACAUAAAUGUUUAGGCUCAUCAGAAGUGGCAGCCUGCUCUCUGUGUUGGGAUCUGCAACAAGAUCAUGGAGAAGUUUUACAAUUGUCAAGCAGUGUAAAAUGCAACAUAAAAUGUGAGAUUCUGGAUCAACAGGUAAUGACCUGACUCUGUUGCUGCUCGGCCUGUUCUGCCCCUACGGGGAUAAGGAUACUCAGAAGACCCUCCAAGAACAGGGCGGACAUACUUUGGCCCCUUGUCAGGAUCUCCCAAAUCAUUGUAGUAAGCAUAGUCGUAGACGCGGUCCCAUUCCUUAAGCUCUCCUUCUCCAUUUCCUCUCAAAUGAACCAGUUCUUCUUCCCUGUAUUUACGUAGCGGUGCUGGUGUCUCGUGUGGCAGAAAUGUCUGUCCAAAUGUAUCAGAAUUUGCUGUAGCUCAGUCAAAUAUUAACAUCUACCUUCAUCUUUCUAUGUUACUUGAUAAUUACCUGGUUAGUGAAGAAAA